UACGGAGGAGGCAAGCGUUAUUCGGAAUUAGUGGGCGUAAAGCGUCCGUAGGUGGUUGGCGAAGUCUGCUGUCAAAGGGUGGGGCUUAACCUCAUAAAUGCAGUGGAAACUGGCGGGCUAGAGUGCGGUAGGGGUAGGGGGAAUUCCCAGUGUAGCGGUGAAAUGCGUAGAGAUUGGGAAGAACAUCGGUGGCGAAAGCGCCCUGCUGGGCCUGCACUGACACUGAGGGACGAAAGCUAGGGGAGCGAAAGGG
rnacentral:rRNA from 1 species